rnacentral:rRNA from 1 species
CAACUCGCCUGCAUGAAGCUGGAAUUGCUAGUAAUCGCGGAUCAGCAAGCCGCGGUGAAUACGUUCCCGGGCCUUGUACACACCGCCCGUCACACCAUGGGAGCCGGUAAUACCCGAAGUCAGUAGUCCAACCUCGUGAGGACGCUGCCGAAGGUAGGAUUGGCGACUGGGGUGAAGUCGUAACAAGGUAAC